UGAGGAAUAUUGGUCAAUGGGGGCAACCCUGAACCAGCCAAGUCGCGUGAAGGAUGAAGGUCUUAUGGAUUGUAAACUUCUUUUAUACGGGAAUAAAGUGGGGGACGUGUCCCCCUUUGCAUGUACCGUAUGAAUAAGGAUCGGCUAACUCCGUGCCAGCAACCGCGGUAAUACGGAGGAUCCGAGCGUUAUCCGGAUUUAUUGGGUUUAAAGGGUGCGCAGGCGGGAUGUUAAGUCGGCGGUGAAAUUUUGCAGCUCAACUGUAAAAGUGCCUUCGAUACUGGCCUUCUUGAGUGUGGAUGAAGUAGGCGGAAUUUGUGGUGUAGCGGUGAAAUGCUUAGAUAUCACGAGGAACUCCGAUUGCGCAGGCAGCUUACUAAGCCGCAACUGACGCUCAUGCACGAAGGCGUGGGGAUCAAACA
rnacentral:rRNA from 1 species